UACAGAGGUCCCAAGCGUUGUUCGGAUUCACUGGGCGUAAAGGGUGCGCAGGUGGGUUUGCAAGUUCGAUGUGAAAGCCCCGGGCUUAACCCGGGAAUGGCAUUGGAUACUGCAGAUCUGGAGGAUCGGAGGGGGACUGGAAUUCUUGGUGUAGCAGUGAAAUGCGCAGAUAUCAGGAGGAACACCGAUGGCGAAGGCAGGUCUCUGGGCCACUACUGACGCUGAGAAGCGAAAGCAUGGGGAGCGAACAGG
rnacentral:rRNA from 1 species